CAGGAAGCGCAUGGCAUAAAAUGUUUGUGGAGAGCUCGGAUGGCCCUCUCACUCGGCCCUGAGGAAAAGGACACUGUGGCCACGGCUCCUAAUCUCCCAGAGACGCAACUGCUCCUCUGACUCCACAUCUGGAGGAGAGUUUCACCCCAGGACCUUGGGUCUGCUAACUUGUAGCACUGGCGACGCAGAGUGUUACAGCUCCUACUUCUGAGGGAAGAAGUCAAAUAUGCUGAACACAAAGUUCAAAACACAUUUAUUACGUGUAGAUGCUGGAUUUAGCAGGAAAAUAUAUCAUUACAAAGUAUGAACCAAACUUGUUUGAGUUAUGGAGGGAAGCCGCU
ensembl:lncRNA